rnacentral:misc_RNA from 1 species
ACACCUCAACUCUCAUGGCUUGCCGUGAUGAGCUUGGACUUUGGGGGUCUUGCCGGCCUGUGGUCGGCUCCUCUCAAAUGAAUCAGCUUGCCAGCGUUUGGUGGCAUCACAGGUGUGAUAACUAUCUACGCUUGUGGUUUUCCACCAGGUAACCUUCGGUGAUGGAGGUUUGCUGGGGCUCAUAAACGUCUCUCCUCGGUGAGGACAGCUCUUUGAAC